rnacentral:tRNA from 1 species
GGUUAUAGCUCAGUGGAGAGCGCUUGCCUAGCAUGUGUGAGGCACUGGGUUCAAUCCUCAGCACCA